rnacentral:ncRNA from 1 species
ACUAUUUGAGGUGGAAAAUUUUGUUGCCUUCCACACGCCGAUGGUAUGACAAAGGCGGCAUUGCCGCUUUGAGAGAUGCAGGAGAAGUGUACGCCUGCCGAACAGC